GGGAAUGCAAAGAAGGCAACAAGAGUGGUUUAAAAGGACUGCUUCGUUUAAAGCAGGCAUUGUAAAGAAAGGUGGUGAAAACUGCUGAAACGGAAAACAAAAGGAAAAUAUUAGCAGACGUAGCAGCAGCAGCUGCUGCUGCCUUCUUCUCUCGCUCGAUAGGAUGGAGAAAUAAUGUUUCCAAAACUUUUUUAAAACAAGGAAAGCUUCUAGUUCUUUUACAGGAGAAAAUUCAGUCUUCUGUAACAUGGGAAGUGUGGGCCUAAGGGAGAAUGCAAUGCCAGGCUAAGCAAGUUACUCUGAAGACAAAAACACAGAGAAAGUCUAUUAGGACUUGUUCCUUAUUAUGUGUGCAUCACUGGCAUUCUGUGGUGUGAUUAUAAACAAUAUUUAGUAACAGUCCUGAAAUAAAAAAUUUGAACAUGUAUAUAUUGAGUGCCAAAUUACCAUGGGUAUCUUCUUCAGAAUGAGGAAUGUGGUUUCAUAAAUAAAUACACACAGGAAGGUAUCCACCCACAAAAUUAAUUCCUCCAUCUUCUGCAUCAAGUGAAAGAAACUGAUGAAGAUUUGAAAUAUGGAUCCAAGAUCAGGGAACAAGCUAAAAUGUGAAAAGACUUGAGAAACUUACCCUGCCAACUGUGUAAAGAAGCACCUUUUAAAGUGAUGAAUCUCUUAUACUGUAUUUCUUGGUGGGGAGCGGGACUACUGUCCCUAUCCAGCAUCAGCACAGCAUUCCUGCAGUAGUGGUGUCUGCUUUAUGCUUGAGCCCUUUUGGGACAGGAGGCCAUCUUAUUUAUUUAGUUAUUCCCCACCCACCCAACAUAAACUGCUUUGAAAACAGUGUGUGUCUGCCUUUUUCUCUAUCUAUGUCUAUCCCCGUAGUAGUACAUGUCAACUUUUCAUUUUCUAAUGUCCAUGAAGCUCAGUGUGAAAGUUCAGAAUAUGAAAUGAACUGAUUUUUCUGGAGAAAUAAACUUAUGUAAUUAUUUUCCAGGAUAUAUUAUUUACUGAGCUGGAGGAGGAUAUAAACCAAAUCAAUAUAUAUGGAUGACUAAUUCUGCCUGGCAGAAAUUACUCUUGCUGUAUUUGAUGAUGAAAUAAUAUCCUAGUAUUAUAAAGUGUAACUGAAUAUCUAAAUGUAUUGCUAAUCCUUAAUUAUGUUAUAGGGAUUUUAUUUUCUUUUUCUCUUUAAAUAUGGGUUUCUCCUAUUUUUGCAUGAUAAUGCUGAGGUCUGUGUACUAUU